rnacentral:rRNA from 1 species
CAGUAGCCACGGUAAUACGUAGGGUGCGAGCGUUAAUCGGAAUUACUGGGCGUAAAGCGUGCGCAGGCGGUUGUGCAAGACAGAUGUGAAAUCCCCGAGCUUAACUUGGGAACUGCAUUUGUGACUGCACGGCUAGAGUGUGUCAGAGGGGGGUAGAAUUCCACGUGUAGCAGUGAAAUGCGUAGAUAUGUGGAGGAAUACCGAUGGCGAAGGCAGCCCCCUGGGAUAACACUGACGCUCAUGCACGAAAGCGUGGGGAGCAAACAGGAUUAGAUACCCCUGUAGUCCCUGUCUCUUAUAA